GCCCGGGUGGCGGAAUUGGCAGACGCGCUAGGUUGAGGGCCUAGUUGGGCUAGCGCCCAGUGCUGGUUCGACUCCAGUCCCGGGCA
rnacentral:tRNA from 1 species